rnacentral:rRNA from 1 species
UACAGAGGGUGCAAGCGUUGUUCGGAAUUAUUGGGCGUAAAGGGCGCGUAGGCGGCCUUCUAAGUCGAACGUGAAAUCCCCGGGCUCAACCCGGGAACUGCGUCCGAUACUGGAAGGCUUGAAUCCGGGAGAGGGAUGCGGAAUUCCAGGUGUAGCGGUGAAAUGCGUAGAUAUCUGGAGGAACACCGGUGGCGAAGGCGGCAUCCUGGACCGGUAUUGACGCUGAGGCGCGAAAGCCAGGGGAGCAAACGGG